UACGGAGGGUGCAAACGUUGCUCGGAAUCAUUGGGCGUAAAGCGCACGUAGGCGGACCGCUAAGUCGGAUGUGAAAGCCCUCGGCUUAACCGAGGAAGUGCAUUCGAAACUGACAGUCUUGAGUAUGGAAGAGGGUCGCGGAAUUCCCGGUGUAGAGGUGAAAUUCGUAGAUAUCGGGAGGAACACCGGUGGCGAAGGCGGUCUGCUGGGCAGUAGCUGACACUGAGGCGCGACAGCGUGGGGAGCAAACAGG
rnacentral:rRNA from 1 species